UGGGGAAUUUUGGACAAUGGGGGAAACCCUGAUCCAGCCAUCCCCGCGUGUGCGAUGAAGGCCUUCGGGUUGUAAAGCACUUUUGGCAGGAAAGAAACGUCGCGGGUUAAUACCCCGCGGAACUGACGGUACCUGCAGAAUAAGCACCGGCUAACUACGUGCCAGCAGCCGCGGUAAUACGUAGGGUGCAAGCGUUAAUCGGAAUUACUGGGCGUAAAGCGUGCGCAGGCGGUUCGGAAAGAAAGAUGUGAAAUCCCAGAGCUUAACUUUGGAACUGCAUUUUUAACUACCGGGCUAGAGUGUGUCAGAGGGAGGUGGAAUUCCGCGUGUAGCAGUGAAAUGCGUAGAUAUGCGGAGGAACACCGAUGGCGAAGGCAGCCUCCUGGGAUAACACUGACGCUCAUGCACGAAAGCGUGGGGAGCAAACAGGAUUAGAUACCCUGGUAGUCCACGCCCUAAACGAUGUCAACUAGCUGUUGGGGUCUUCGGACCUUGGUAGCGCAGCUAACGCGUGAAGUUGACCGCCUGGGGAGUACGGUCGCAAGAUU
rnacentral:rRNA from 1 species